rnacentral:tRNA from 1 species
UCCGGCGUAGCUCAGGUGUAGAGCGCAGCCUCGCCAAGGUUGAAGUCGUGGGUUCGAAUCCCAUCGCCCGCUCCA